rnacentral:lncRNA from 1 species
CUCUUUCUGGGUUUUCUACACCUGCACGAUGCAAAUAUAACUGACCGACCCAGUUAUUUUUUAAAAAAAAAAAAAAUCUUCCAUCCUCGCUGUGAUCUCGAAGAAUAUAAUUUAUAAACAACAAAACCCUAGAGAUCAAUAUCCCCACACAUCAUCCAUAUGUAUGCAAGUAGAUGAAAGGGUGAUGAAAGCAUAUCAAGAUGUAUAUAUAAAGAAUCUAAAGAGAAAAAGAGGAACUAGGGUUUCCAAGUAGAAGUUGUUUAUAAGAUCUGUAAGAUAAAUAACAAAAACAUUGUAAAACUAAUUAAUCAGCAGAUCGAGAUGUAGAAUAUAUGCGAGAGUUGCUAGAAGGGAUAUUUAUCAAGAUAACCCGAAAACUACAGAUGGAAAGAAGAAAGCACAGUAAAUGGAUUGGCAAUACGUGAUCUCAAGGGUUUCCAAGUAGGAGUUGCCCACCGCAGGAUCUUUCAUCAACGGAAAAAAUAACAUAGAUUAACAAGAAGAAAAGAAAUAAAGAGGAGAGGGUCGAAGGUAAUGAUGGGUUAGUAUGCAUGCUGAUCUGUUUACCUUGAUGUUUAGCAGAGAGAGAAAAGCUGAAAGAUGUGAAAAUAUCAUGAGGGUUUUACAAAGAAAAGCUAACAGAGCUCUGUUGACAGUAUGCCCACCUCCUUUCCUUGUACCUUUUUUUUUUUUUUUUUUUUUUUGAAUUGGUCGAUGCGCAGUGGAGGUGGACAGAAUGCCAAUAAACUCUGUAAGAAAGCCUUUGCUAAACCCACAUGAAAGCUUGGAUUCACCAUUUGAAGAGCAGAGACGAGAGGACAUGUUAGAGGAAGGGGGCAGAUGGGUUGUAUUUAAGAGGCCAAAGGGGAGUAAAUAAGAGAGAGAUAGUGGUGGGUAUGCGUAAUUAAUUAAGAGAUAUGGGUAAAAAGAAAACAAGAAAAGACAUAAAAUUAUUAAGUAGAUAGGAUUGGAUGGUUCAUUCUCUGUAUCAGAAAGAUCAUCAUGCUUAUUAUUCUUUCUUCUUCCCUCCACCCUCCAGUCUCCAGUCUCCAGUCUCCAGUCUUUUCUUGCCUUGCUAUCUUAUCUGAUGCACCUCUAUCCUAUUUAUCCUUUUUCAAUCUCUUCUGUCUUAAACCCAACAGAAAGGAUUUGGGUAAUCUAAUCUUGUUUAGGGACCCAAUAAUGACAAAACUAAUAUCAAUAUCAGUUGAAGGACAUAUACCUAUUAACUAGUCUUUUGCCUUCCACCCCUUUUUUUUUUUUCUCUUGUUUCCCUUCUUUUUGUUAAUGCCUACCGUUACAUAUAUCUCGUGGGAAGCAUGGGGCUAUAUAUCUCAUCAUCUAAUCUAGACCGUUGAUUCAUGAAAUAAACACCACACUCAAAUAGGGAAAAAGUCAAAAAAGAGACCUCGGAUUACCUCUUCUUUUUGGAUCAACUGGAAAGUGGGUAUUGCUGCCCCGUCCAUGUUCAAACCCACUUCACCUGCACCAUAAAAAUGGUGUAAGUGGGGUAAUAAGGUUUCUUUCUCUUCCAACCUAUGUUUUGUAUCUUUGUCACUAACUCACUUUACC